CUGAAGCAGCAGACAGGUGGGAUGGGAAAUUCUGUGCUGCCCUGAGAAAGUUGUGGGUGUGGCUUUUAAGCCACAUUCACAUGGACAACCUUCAAGUGCCUGAAGAUUGUCCAUGUGAAUGAAGAACACACAGGUGUAGAAGCACAACAUCAGUCUCUCAGACUCUGUUUCAAGAAAUUUAUAUAUAUCCAAGCAGCCUUAGGUCUUCUCUUUUGUUCUCAGUCUUACCAUUUGCUGAGCUCAUGUUCAAGUCAUGUUCACAGUACAUGAAAACAGAUACAGUUUGAGAUUAUAGGUAAGGCUGGAGAGAAGGAGGAAGAACAAUUAAGCAAAUGAAUCCCCACCUCUGCAGUGCUGGCUGACCUAUGGCAACAGCUAAACCUGGGCACCAGUUCUGGGGACAAAAGACACACAAGAAGAAAAGGGACUCUCUCAUCUGUCCUGGAAAACAGUGAGACAAGUCUGGAAUUCCUACCUAUCAACCAGGUUGUGAUCGCCUCUGCCACUCAGCAGGAUUUUGACAGACUUUCCAGAAAGAAACCAAACUUGACCAGCACUAGAACAAGGAUAUGUAUGCAUUCUCCUUUGCUUCCCCCUACAAAACUUCUUCCAGAGGGUGCUUCAUCCUGCCAGAAAGCAACUGCUGUGGACUGCGUUUUUCCAUUCUUACCCAGAAGCUUCCUCUGCUGCUUCUGUGCUCCACACUGGAGUCUUCAGUGCACAGCAUUUUGAAGUGAGUAACGUCCAUGAUGCCCCAAAGUUGCUACUGAAAAUUAAUUCUCAAUGAGGAAAUUAUUAACAGUAAGAAUACGCUGGAGGAAUAGUGACAUCUGGCUUAAUUCUUUGAUUUCCAUUCUGAUA